AGUGGCCUAGGGGUUCAGUGGGGGUGGGGCGGAGGGGAGGAAUUUCAAGGUCCUGGGCCGAUAAAUGAGAACACAGGAAUGAAUCGAAACUGGCGUGAGCGCUGGAGGCUUCCCGCUUUGUGAUGGGAGGCAGAUUAAAUCACACAUGGAAAGGACCCAGGUCCGGCUGGACCUUGAAGCACGGCUAAGAGCACCCCAAGCACAGGGAAAGGUUUAGACGGUCUCGCAUUCAGAGAUCCCCCGGGGUGGAAGAUGCAGAAAAUGAGUCCGAAAGAGAAGAUCCUUACAGAAGUCCACUAGCCAGGAAGCAGCAGGGCCUGGAUUCAAAUGCAAGCCUAUCUCACCACAGAGAAAGCCCACAUUUUUCCCCCUGACAACCGGCAGCCUGCCUAGUGAUAGGCAGAGCAGAAGAGAAGGAGUAGCAUCAUCUCCAAGGCCAUCCCCUAGUCCUUUGGCCACGAGCGGAGCUAUCUACAGGCACCGUUUCUCCAGGAUGUUUUCCUGCCCGAGUCCCAGCUGCCUCACCAGCUACGUG